GAACGUUAAGCGGAAAAUGUUGAACCACGUUCAGCGAUCUCUGUCUCUUACCAAUCAAAGCCUGCUAUCGUAGUAGCCUUCUUCCGUGUCUUUUCUCUGCCGAUGAGCAGCGGCAGCCGCAGCGGCUCUUCGAUCUUCGAUGUGGCAUCCUCGCCGAGCUUUUCGUUAUGAGGGGGCCAGCCGGUGGCGAAGCAGCCAAACCCUAGGAUCUGCGUCCCCUGCGGCCUCAUCCACCACCGAUGGCUGCCGUGCCCCUCCGGCCGCCUCCUCGCCCUCCAUCGCGGACGACGGUGUCGCCGAGGCCAAGAUUAGCUGCACGAAGGUGUGGGAGGAAGCUGGGACGGUCGGGAGUCCAAUCAUCGAUACUGCCUGCCCGGCUAGAAGCUGGAGAAGGUCAUCUUUAGGAAGGAAAUAUUGUAGAAGGUCCGGGAUAAGAAAGUGUGGAAUUUGGGCAGGAAGAAGCGGAGGUCGAGUGUCGGGGGAAUAUUGAGGUUAACGAAAAAGAGGAGCAGCAAAGGAGGAGCUUUCGGCAUCAUAUGUUGAGGGGAAUUCUCCUGCUGACAAGAGGGAUCAUGCUGGCAAGAGAGCGAUCAAAUUUUAAUCUUCUAAGAAGGCAAGUAUGCUUGGGUCCAUUUAAAUUGUGUAAGCAUAAAUGUGAUAUGUAGACCUUAUGGCCAAGGUUUUUUCAUCUGGCCUUUUUAAAUCAUCAAAUUGCUUCAAUUUUCAA